ACGGUAGUAGGUGCCUUUGAACAGGGGUAUGGUAGUAGGUGCCUUUGAACAGGGUACGGUAGUAGGUGCCUUUGAACAGGGUACGGUAGUAGGUGCCUUUGAACAGGGUACGGUAGUAGGUGCCUUUGAACAGGGUACGGUAGUAGGUGCCUUUGAACAGGGUAUGGUAGUAGGUACCUUUGAACGGGGUACGGUAGUAGGUACCUUUGAGCGGGGUACGGUAGUAGGUACCUUUGAACGGGGUACGGUAGUAGGUACCUUUGAACGGGGUACGGUAGUAGGUACCUUUGAACGGGG
ensembl:lncRNA